rnacentral:tRNA from 1 species
UCCCUGAUAGCUCAGUUGGUAAAGAAUCUGCUUGCAAUGCAGGAGACCCUGGUUCAUUUCCUGGGUUGGGAA